UACGGGGGGAGCAAGCGUUGUUCGGAUUUACUGGGCGUAAAGGGUGCGUAGGUGGCGCCGUAAGUCAGGUGUGAAAUUUCGGAGCUUAACUCCGAAACUGCAUUUGAUACUGCGGUGCUUGAGGACUGGAGAGGAGACUGGAAUUUACGGUGUAGCAGUGAAAUGCGUAGAGAUCGUAAGGAAGACCAGUGGCGAAGGCGGGUCUCUGGACAGUUCCUGACACUGAGGCACGAAGGCCAGGGGAGCAAACGGG
rnacentral:rRNA from 1 species